CCCGUCCCGAGCGCUCCGUGCCGGCGGGGCAUCGGGCGGGAGUGCUGUUCUUCAUUUCCAGUUAAUAGCAGGGUAUUUAAUUAGGGUACCACACUCCUUCGAGUGAAAAGAACUUGCUUUUCAGUUCUUAAAGCAAGCAUCUCAGCGGUUUUCUUUGCCGGUUUUAAAACCUGUGAGCAAAUCGCGAUCGAACCUGCCCCUCAGUAAUUAACACCUGCUUCCCGAAAUCGCAGCAUCCGAGCGGUCACCGUUCCUCUCAUGGGCACCGAUGCGCUGGUCUCGCAGGUCCCCGUGGCGAAUACUCAGCUUUAGGGAAGGUCUGAGAGGAGAAAACAUCCAAGUGCAUGUUUGGAAACGUGACGGCUCUGGGCUAGAGUGCAAACGGAGCCCUUUCUGCUGAGAGAAAGGCAGUAAGAAUGGCAGUCGAGCAGGCUUUGAUGCGGCUGUGUUUGUGGUGGAGAAUGGGGGAAGCUUGAUGGGAAGAGACAAAGCCGAAGGCUAUGACCGUACGAGAGUGGAAGAAAGGGAGGUUGUUUAUUUUCAAGAGUUCAGAGAAUGUGGCUUUAACUCGUUGAAAGUAAAAGAGAUCUACUCAUGUGGAUAACAAAUAUCCUUAACACUACACAGACUGUACAAAGCAUAGGAAUUGGGCUGAAGUCCUGGAUCAUUAUGGGGGGAUGGCAGUUCCUUGGUACUGAACAUCAGACAGGGCUAUAUCACUUCUAAUCCCCAAGAGAAAAGAAAUUGCUUUUUUGUUUGUUUGUUUGUUUUUGGGUUUUUUGUUACCCAGAGGUAGGACAAGGAGCAGCAGCAGUUUGCAGUAUAAGAGUCCUCUGGAGCAGAAAGAUGGAUGCUGGAGUUUUCAGUGCAGAGGGUCACAUUGCUGUGUGGCUUUACCAACACCGGGGGUGUGGAGGGAUGCUCAGUCCACAGGGGUUGCCCUGACAAGAGCAGGGAGGUGAAGAGAGCCUUGUGGAGGAACUGCCGGGACAUCACCACGAAGAUGAGAAAGGAGAUGGGUCCUGGCAGAAAAAGGGAACUAGGAAAGUGAGGAGUAAUCCGCACUUGUGUGAUUUCCUUUUGGAAAGCUGCUCAGCAGGGUGGCAGAUGAGAUCAGGAGAGAAGGACAGUCAAGAAUGGAGUCAAAACAUGUGUAGGAUGGGCUGGGGCUGAAGACCCAGGGUUCAUUAUGCAUCUCUGCUGUUGACUUGCAGCUACAGCAAUUAGGAGGGAGAAAGUGAUUUUGUGUAGAAGUGUUCCCUUAAAUCUCCAUCAGAUGGCUCCAAAGAUGGUGUCAAGUCUAAUUAUCAAACGCAGUGGGGCUUGCAUUAAAUAAUACUCAGUGGCUACAGCUAUCCUUGUGCCAGCCUCCCUCUCCUUGUGCUAAAUACAUUACAUUUUGUCUCUUGCUCUAUGGGGAGUGCACCACAGGCUCUUCUAAGCUGUUAAAGUUAGAUGUGUUUGGUUUUGUGAUUCCUGGUCCACAUAGGUUUAAUCUGUGUCCACCACACGUUAGAAUCAAGCUCAAGUGUGAUGCUGUGGGAAGAGUUUUCUUCUGUACUUUUGUUACCUCCUUGUGGGAAGUUUGAAGAUCCUUAUAUACAUUUUAAUGCAGUUGACUGUUACUGGACACAAAAGCAAGAAAGAUCAAAGAAAAUCUGUCUCGGGUGUUUUCUGAGGGUUGACUGGCUGGGCUGGAUUGGAGGUGUUUGCCAUGUGUCUGCCCCACCUCUCUGGUCUUUACAUUAAGCUGCUGUGCAGUACCAGCCCUAUAGCAAUACCUGGAAAUCCCUCAGGAUAACAGCAGAUCCUGUGUCUUGGAUGGCACUGGCCUUCUGCAGAGCCUGUGUAAGAGGAAAACUUCUAUCCACGGCCUGUGCUGCUGCCUGUUGCUCCUGGUUGUGUUCUCCAAGUACCUGCAGCUUGCUCUGGAAAGGCCAAGAGCUGCCUGUCAUCACUGCCACCCAGCAUUAGGCAUCUCAUCAAAAGGCUUAACAGGCUGACACCAUUCAGCAGUACCCUUUAGCCACAGGAGGAGAACUUGCUUAUAUGCAGCAGUUCUUGCCAAUGACAGCAGCCCAAGGACAGUAAAACAAAAAGAUAUGUUCCGUUUACAGCAAGACAAGCCUUCCAGUACUCUGUCUGAGAUCCUCCUGGCUGCCCACCAGCCCACCCCAACAUCCUUCUGGCCUUCCUCAUGGCCUGGCCUCACUGAGGUCACUAAAGUCACAAAGUGCUGCAGUCAGGAGUAACACCACUGCACCCUGCCAGUUCUUAUAUAUAUGGAUUUUGAAAAAAAAAAUAUUAGCUUUUAUAGGUAAAGCACUCUAGAGAAAGCUUAAAUAUAAUGCCAAUGACAUCCUUCUUCUGCUGAGGACCCUGAUGGCCCUCAGUCCUGCCAAUGGGCUGGGUAAGUGUCUGGAUUGGGUCAGCAGUCUGGACUGCUCCUGGAGGCAGGAAGGGAACAGCACUUUUCAUACCUGACACUGCCUUGCUGGAGAUUUAUUUUAAUCCAGCAAUGUUUGCAUCCAUUCAAACAGCAGCAGCCUUAAGUUCUGCCUUCUAAAUACACCCUGUGGCAGUUUGUAUUCUUCUAAGGUUCACUGAAAAUUUUAGCUGUUUAAUGGAAUAUGGUUCAAACAAGGAAAAGAUUGACACAGAACUCAUUUUGCUUCAUCAACAUUUUCAGGUAACCAAAUGUGCUCAUGUUUAAUGAUGGCAGGAGAUGGAGGUUUGAGCUGUUGGAUUUGGUCAGCAGAGGUUUUUGAUCACUGUCAGUAUUGUGUCUAAACAGAGCAAACAAUUAAAUAGACACACUAACAUCCCUGCAAAGCUCACAGCUCCCAAGCCUGGUCUCAAGCUGCCCAGUCCUGACAAUGUAACACUCAUUGACAACAUUAUCACAAUCUCAAAUAAUGCAAAUUAAUCACACAGAUUGGGAAACAGCUUUAGCUGCUGCAGGGAUGACUAACACUCCUCCCUGUGUGAAAGCAUCUUUAUGUGGAUACAAUUAAAACUAUGUAACUGAAGGUAUAAUCACUAUUUACAUAUUACAAGGCUGGAGGAAGGCAAGUGUUGUGCCUGUGGUUGAUAAAAAGGCUGAAAGGACCCUCUGAGAAAGCACAGGCCAGAUGGUACCACUUCAGCCCCUGGGAAAACCAGAGGAAAUCCUUUCAGAAGGUCUUUUUGGGGACAUGCAGAAGACAACUGGGAACAGCCAGGAUGGAAUUACUGAGGGUAACCCAUACCUGCCUUCUAUAAUAAAAUAUCUUUAUGGACAAGG